rnacentral:rRNA from 1 species
UUUAAAUUUAGAGUUUGAUCCUGGCUCAGGACGAACGCUGGCGGCGUGCUUAACACAUGCAAGUCGAGCGAUGAAGCUUCCUUCGGGAAGUGGAUUAGCGGCGGACGGGUGAGUAACACGUGGGUAACCUGCCUCAAAGUGGGGGAUAGCCUUCCGAAAGGAAGAUUAAUACCGCAUAAUAUAAGAGAAUCGCAUGAUUUUCUCAUCAAAGAUUUAUUGCUUUGAGAUGGACCCGCGGCGCAUUAGCUAGUUGGUAAGGUAACGGCUUACCAAGGCAACGAUGCGUAGCCGACCUGAGAGGGU